AUAAAUGCCAGCCCCUUUUCUACAAUUCCCCUGUGGGAGAGGAGCUGGAGUGGGCAAAUUAUUUACUUGGAGGCCUUUCUUUCUUUUACCUUUUUUAUCAGACACAACGCAGAUGCCCACCGGUUACACGAGGAUAUAGGAUAAUAUCAUUAUGUGAAAACCAGAGAGGGUGAGAGACGCGACAGUCAAGUGGAGCAUGCGUCUGUCCUCUCAUCCUCCUACCUCAGGAUGGACACUUUUGGAUACUGCCUGCCGCGCCCCUCCCUCUUCCAGCAAUGGCCCCAGCUCCAUCAGCUCAACAUCUGGGACCUGGCAGUCCUCAGAGAUCCGGCAGUCUGCAUCACUGGCAGACCCGUUUCGGCCUGACAUAGGGAGACUGCCUGA